GAGAUUAAAUAUGAACUGCUAAAUCACACACCCCGAACUUAAAUACUCGGACUUCUC
rnacentral:tRNA from 1 species